rnacentral:rRNA from 1 species
AUUGAACGCUGGCGGCAGGCUUAACACAUGCAAGUCGAACGAGUCGCGGACGGGAGAGUAAUGCUGGGGAAUCGGGCUUAUGGAGGGGGAUAACGACGGGAAACUGUCGCUAAUACGGCGCACCGUAGGAGGAGCCCAAGGGGGAUUAGGUCGUUGGUGGGGUAAUGGCCUACCAAGCCGACGCUCUCUAGCUGGUCUGAGAGGAUGACCAGCCGCACCGGGACUGAGAGACGGCCCGGACGCCUACGGGAGGAAGCAGGGGGGAAUAUUGGGCAAUGGGGGCAACCUGACGCAGUCAUGCCGCGUGAAUGAAGAAGGCAUUCGGGUUGUAGAGUUCUUACGGUGAUGAGGCGUUAAUCACAGAAGAAGCACCGGCUAACUCCGUGCCAGCAGCCGCGGUAAUUC